CAAAAACAUGUCUUUUUGUUAAAAAUAAAAAGUCUAAUCUGCCCACUGAUAAUUAUUGAAGGGCCGCGGUAUAUUGACUGUGCAAAGGUAGCAUAAUCAUUUGUCUCUUAAUUGGAGGCUGGAAUGAAUGAUUGAAUGAAAUAUUAACUGUCUCAGUUUUAUAAAAAUAAAAAUUUAAUUUUUAAGUUAAAAAGCUUAAAUAUAAUUAAAGGACGAGAAGACCCUAUAGAUCUUUAUAUUAAUUUAUUUAUUAUUAAUUAGUAAAUAAAUAAAUAAUAUAUUAAUUAAUAUUUUAUUGGGGUGAUAGGAAAAUUAAUAUAACUUUUUUUAUAAUAAAACAUAAAUUUAUGAAUAUUUGAUCCAUUAUUAAUGAUUAUAAGAUUAAGUUACCUUAGGGAUAACAGCGUAAUUUUUUUAAAGAGUUCAUAUCGAUAAAAAAGAUUACGACCUCGAUGUUGAAUUAAAGUUAUAUUUGGAUGCAGAAGUUUAAAAUAUAGGUCUGUUCGACCUUUAAAUCUUUACAUGAUCUGAG
rnacentral:rRNA from 1 species